UUUAAAGUGGCGUUUUGUCUAAUAAGAUAAAAUCAAAUUAUGAAAGACCAAGUACGAAGAUAACACUGCAUAUGGAUAUGGUACUACAAGCAAACUAGAUGCCAAUAUUCAUAUGGUACUACAAGCAAAACACUAAGAUAUAAACCGCGCAAACAAUGAACACAACUAGAAGACUAAACUUCUGUUAUUCAUAAUGAUUUAUCUAAUAGCUAGCUAGCUAGAUAAUCAGUUGGCUGGUGGACGCUUGUGGG
rnacentral:misc_RNA from 1 species